CUGUGUCGCGAGCUUGAGGUCCUGCGGCGGAGUGAGACAGCUAGCGUUUGGGACCGGAAGUUGGUCGAGCCGCGUCUCAGCUAGCACUUUGGUGAAGUUUGAGAACACUGCUUUCCUAGCCAGGUGGUGCCAUACAGACUAAACGAUGGACUGUCUGGGAUGGGUUUCAGUAGUUAGUGGAUUGGUUUUCUCCGUGCUGAUACUUUUUUAUUGCACGUACUGGAUAUCACAAAAGCGUCUUCACCAGACCUUUCAGAAAAUGGGCAUCAGAGGUCCAAAGCCUAGUUUCUUCUUCGGAAAUUUGGAUGAGAUUCU